GGAGCAACCCUUUAAGGGGCACUCCUCCAUGGUCUCUGCAUCAACUCCUGCCUCCAGGCUCCUACCUGUGUUUGCUGGGGGAUGGACUGUCACGUGGAAGGGCCAGACAGGAUCAGGAACUAGAAGACAUAGUCUUUCUGACCCACACUUGACCUUCUGAAGUGUCUCACCUGAAGCCAUUUCUGUCACUCAGCCUGGAUCUGGAGAUCCAGCUUCGUGGACACUUCCAAGGAAGGACUCCAUGAUUUGGGCCAGAGAAAUCAUCUUAGGAGCACUUAGCCCACCCUUGUCAAUGUUCUGCACAGUCCCCACAGUAAAAAAAAGGGGGGCCUCUGCUCUUAAGGAUUGUGAUACAUCCUGGAGACUGCUGGAGACUGUGCAUGUUGAAUUGGUUUGCCUUCAAGCAACAUAAAAGCUCUGGAAAGAAAGGAACUGCAUUUUGUUCAUAUUUGUAUUUCUGUCAGCCCAGUACAGAGCUUUGAACAUAAUGCAUGCUCAAUGAAUAUGCAAUGAAUGAAUAAAUGAGUUAAUGAGCAAG